AAUAUUAUUAUGAUAUUAAGUGGUCAAAUUUCGCCAGAAGUUUGAAUAAAAGGAAAUUAGGUUAGAAUCCUAAGCGAUCCGGUCACUGUAUUCUAGGGAGCAAUACUUAAUAAUCCAUUGCAUGCCAUUUGUAUGUGAGAAGGAAAGUAACGCGUUGAUCUGUAAGCCAGGAAGCCUGCUUAAUAUUAGUUAAUUAG
rnacentral:ncRNA from 2 species